rnacentral:rRNA from 1 species
AGCUAGUGGGGAAUCUUGCACAAUGGCGGAACUGUGAUGGAAGGACGCCGCGUGAGUUAAAAAGGUCUUUGGAUUGUAAAACUCUGUCCUUGGUGAAGUUUUUUUUGACGGUAGCCAAGGAGGAACCCCCGGCUAACUACGCCCCAGCAGCCGCGGUAAUACGUACGGGGGCGAGCGUUGUCCGGAUUUACUGGGCGUAAAGGGUGAGUAGGCGGUUAUAUGUGUCAGAUGUAAAAGGGUGUGUCUUAACCAUAGUUCGCAUUUGAAACUGUAUUACUUGAGUGCAGGAGAGGUAAGUGGAAUUCCUAGUGUAGCGGUGAAAUGCGUAGAUAUUAGGAGGAACACCAGUGGCGAAGGCAACUUACUGGACUGUAAUUGACGCUGAGUCACGAAAGCGUGGGGAUCAAACAGGAUUAGAUACCCUGGUAGUCCACGCCGUAAACGAUGUGUACUAGGUGUUGGGUAAUGACCUUCAGUGUCGAAGUGAACACAAUAAGUAGUCCGCAUGG